rfam:Salmo salar isolate Sally breed double haploid chromosome ssa15, whole genome shotgun sequence.
GGCUCGUUGGUCUAGGUGUAUGAUUCUUGCUUCGGGUGUGAGAGGUCCCGGGUUCAAAUCCCCGGCGAGCCC